UACGGAGGAUCCAAGCGUUAUCCGGAUUUACUGGGCGUAAAGAGUUGCGUAGGUGGUUUUUUAAGCGAAUAGUGAAAUCUUGUGGCUCAACCAUGAGGCUAUUAUUCGAACUGAAAAACUCGAGAAUGAGAGAGGUGGCUGGAAUUCCCUGUGUAGGAGUGAAAUCCGUAGAUAUAGGGAGGAACACCAAUGGCGUAGGCAGGCCACUGGCUCAUUUCUGACACUGAGGCACGAAAGCGUGGGGAGCGAACGGG
rnacentral:rRNA from 1 species